rnacentral:rRNA from 1 species
GAUGAACGCUGGCGGCGUGCCUAAUACAUGCAAGUCGAGCGAACAGACGAGGAGCUUGCUCCUCUGACGUUAGUGGCGGACGGGUGAGUAACACGUGGAUAACCUACCUAUAAGACUGGGAUAACUUCGGGAAACCGGAGCUAAUACCGGAUAAUAUAUUGAACCGCAUGGUUCAAUAGUGAAAGACGGUUUUGCUGUCACUUAUAGAUGGAUCCGCGCCGCAUUAGCUAGUUGGUAAGGUAACGGCUUACCAAGGCAACGAUGCGUAGCCGACCUGAGAGGGUGAUCGGCCACACUGGAACUGAGACACGGUCCAGACUCCUACGGGAGGCAGCAGUAGGGAAUCUUCCGCAAUGGGCGAAAGCCUGACGGAGCAACGCCGCGUGAGUGAUGAAGGUCUUCGGAUCGUAAAACUCUGUUAUUAGGGAAGAACAAAUGCGUAAGUAACUAUGCACGUCUUGACGGUACCUAAUCAGAAAGCCACGGCUAACUACGUG